rnacentral:tRNA from 1 species
ACUUUCUUAGUACAAAUAGUACAAAUGACUUCCAAUCAUUUAAUCUUGGUUAAAACCCAAGAGAGAGUA